rnacentral:tRNA from 1 species
GAUCUUAUAUUUUAAUCUAAAAUUUUAAAUUGCAAAUUUAAAGAUAUAUAAAAUUAUAUUAAGAUUU